rnacentral:RNase_P_RNA from 1 species
UGAGUAAACCGGACAAUCGCGGCUGCAAAGAUGAAAAUCUGCAGAUGAGGAAAGUCCGGGCUUCAUAGGGUAGGGACGCCGGGUAGUUCCCGGUGAAGGUGACUUUAAGGAAAGUGCAACAGAAAUUAUACCGCCGAGCGAUCGGUAAGGGUGGAAUGGUGAGGUAAGAGCUCACCGGCAGUCUGGUAACAGGCUGGCCGUGUAAACCCCGUCUGAAGCAACACCGUGGAGAAACAAUAGUGUGACCCGCACGUUUCGUGGAGGUGGCUUGAAUCCGGGCGAAAUCCCGGAUCUAGAUAGAUGAUUGUCCUCGACAGAACCCGGCUUACAGGUUUACUCAGAUU